rnacentral:misc_RNA from 1 species
AAGUCGUAACAAGGUCUCCGUUGGUGAACCAGCGGAGGGAUCAUUAAAGAGUUGCAAAACUCCCACAACCAUCGCGAACGUUACCCGUAACCGUUGCCUCGGCGGCGUCGGCCCCUCCGGGGUCGCCCGCCGGCGGCACCCGAAACUAUGUUUUUGUAGGCCUCUCUGAGUAACUUAUCAAAUAAGUCAAAACUUUUAACAACGGAUCUCUUGGUUCUG